AGACCCGAAACCCGGUGAUCUAGCCAUGGGCAGGUUGAAGGUUGGGUAACACUAACUGGAGGACCGAACCGACUAAUGUUGAAAAAUUAGCGGAUGACCUGUGGCUGGGGGUGAAAGGCCAAUCAAACCGGGAGAUAGCUGGUUCUCCCCGAAAGCUAUUUAGGUAGCGCCUCGUGAAUUCAUCUCCGGGGGUAGAGCACUGUUUCGGCUAGGGGGCCAUCCCGGCUUACCAACCCGAUGCAAACUGCGAAUACCGGAGAAUGUUAUCACGGGAGACACACGGCGGGUGCUAACGUCCGUCGUGAAGAGGGAAACAACCCAGACCGCCAGCUAAGGUCCCAAAGUCAUGGUUAAGUGGGAAACGAUGUGGGAAGGCCCAGACAGCCAGGAUGUUGGCUUAGAAGCAGCCAUCAUUUAAAGAAAGCGUAAUAGCUCACUGGUCGAGUCGGCCUGCGCGGAAGAUGUAACGGGGCUAAACCAUGCACCGAAGCUGCGGCAGCGACACUGUGUGUUGUUGGGUAGGGGAGCGUUCUGUAAGCCUGUGAAGGUGUGUCGUGAGGCAUGCUGGAGGUAUCAGAAGUGCGAAUGCUGACAUAAGUAACGAUAAAGCGGGUGAAAAGCCCGCUCGCCGGAAGACCAAGGGUUCCUGUCCAACGUUAAUCGGGGCAGGGUGAGUCGACCCCUAAGGCGAGGCCGAAAGGCGUAGUCGAUGGGAAACGGGUUAAUAUUCCCGUACUUGGUGUUACUGCGAAGGGGGGACGGAGAAGGCUAUGUUGGCCGGGCGACGGUUGUCCCGGUUUAAGCGUGUAGGUGUGUGUUCCAGGUAAAUCCGGUUCACUUUAACACUGAGGCGUGACGACGAGGCACUACGGUGCUGAAGCAACAAAUGCCCUGCUUCCAGGAAAAGCCUCUAAGCAUCAGGUAACAUCAAAUCGUACCCCAAACCGACACAGGUGGUCAGGUAGAGAAUACCAAGGCGCUUGAGAGAACUCGGGUGAAGGAACUAGGCAAAAUGGUGCCGUAACUUCGGGAGAAGGCACGCUGACACGUAGGUGAAGUGAUUUACUCAUGGAGCUGAAGUCAGUCGAAGAUACCAGCUGGCUGCAACUGUUUAUUAAAAACACAGCACUGUGCAAACACGAAAGUGGACGUAUACGGUGUGACGCCUGCCCGGUGCCGGAAGGUUAAUUGAUGGGGUCAGCGCAAGCGAAGCUCCUGAUCGAAGCCCCGGUAAACGGCGGCCGUAACUAUAACGGUCCUAAGGUAGCGAAAUUCCUUGUCGGGUAAGUUCCGACCUGCACGAAUGGCGUAAUGAUGGCCAGGCUGUCUCCACCCGAGACUCAGUGAAAUUGAACUCGCUGUGAAGAUGCAGUGUACCCGCGGCAAGACGGAAAGACCCCGUGAACCUUUACUAUAGCUUGACACUGAACAUUGAGCCUUGAUGUGUAGGAUAGGUGGGAGGCUUUGAAGUGUGGACGCCAGUCUGCAUGGAGCCGACCUUGAAAUACCACCCUUUAAUGUUUGAUGUUCUAACGUGGACCCGUUACCCGGGUUGCGGACAGUGUCUGGUGGGUAGUUUGACUGGGGCGGUCUCCUCCUAAAGAGUAACGGAGGAGCACGAAGGUUGGCUAAUCCUGGUCGGACAUCAGGAGGUUAGUGCAAUGGCAUAAGCCAGCUUGACUGCGAGCGUGACGGCGCGAGCAGGUGCGAAAGCAGGUCAUAGUGAUCCGGUGGUUCUGAAUGGAAGGGCCAUCGCUCAACGGAUAAAAGGUACUCCGGGGAUAACAGGCUGAUACCGCCCAAGAGUUCAUAUCGACGGCGGUGUUUGGCACCUCGAUGUCGGCUCAUCACAUCCUGGGGCUGAAGUAGGUCCCAAGGGUAUGGCUGUUCGCCAUUUAAAGUGGUACGCGAGCUGGGUUUAGAACGUCGUGAGACAGUUCGGUCCCUAUCUGCCGUGGGCGCUGGAGAACUGAGGGGGGCUGCUCCUAGUACGAGAGGACCGGAGUGGACGCAUCACUGGUGUUCGGGUUGUCAUGCCAAUGGCACUGCCCGGUAGCUAAAUGCGGAAGAGAUAAGUGCUGAAAGCAUCUAAGCACGAAACUUGCCCCGAGAUGAGUUCUCCCUGAGACUUUAGGUCUCCUGAAGGAACGUUGAAGACGACGACGUUGAUAGGCCGGGUGUGUAAGCGCAGCGAUGCGUUGAGCUAACCGGUACUAAUGAACCGUGAGGCUUAACCUUACAACGCCGAAG
rnacentral:rRNA from 3 species